rnacentral:rRNA from 1 species
AUUGAACGCUGGCGGCAGGCCUAACACAUGCAAGUCGAACGAGUGGCGGACGGGUGAGUAAUGUCUGGGAAACUGCCCGAUGGAGGGGGAUAACUACUGGAAACGGUAGAUAAUACCGCAUACCAUCGGAUGUGCCCAGAUGGGUUGAGCUUGUAGGUGGGGUAACGGCUCACCUAGGCGACGAGCCCUAGCUGGUCUGAGAGGAUGACCAGCCAACAUGGAACUGAGACACGGUCCAGAGGCCUACGGUAGGCAGCAGUGGGGAAUAUUGGACAAUGGGCGCAAGCCUGAUGCAGCCAUGGCGCGUGAAUGAAGAAGGCCUUCGGGGUGGAAAGUACUUUCAGCGAGGAGGCGUUACUCGCAGAAGAAGCACCGGCUAACUCCGUGCCAGCAGCCGCGGUAAUUC